CUGGGAUUACAGGCAUGAGCCACCGUGCCCAGCCAACCUCCGCUCUAGUCUCUUACGGUGCUAAUCACAAGCUGCCUUUGUAUUAUGGUUAUCUGAGGUCAAGUCUCCUCUCCACUUCAGAAUAAAAGUUUCUAGGGGGCAGGGACAACAUUUUUCUGUUGCCAUCUGACAUGGUUUGGCUGUGUCCCCACCCAAAUCUCACUUUGAAUUGUAAUAAUGCCCACGUGUCAAGGGCAGGGCCAGGUGGAGAUAGUUGAAUCAUGGGGGUGGUUUCCCCCAUACUGUUCUCGUGAUAGUAAAUAAGUCUCACGAAGUCUGAUGGUUUUAGAAGUGGGAGUUCCCCUGCACAAGUUCUCUUGCCUGCCACCAUGUAAGAUGUCAUUUUGCUCCUCCUUUGCCUUCUGCCAUGAUUGUAAAGCCUCCCCAGCCAUGUGGAACUGUGACUCCAUUAAAUCUCUUUCCUUUAUGAAUUACCCAGUCUUGGGCAUCUCUUUAUUAGCAGUGUGAGAACAGACUGAUACACUAUUACUUACAACAGGCACAUAGAAAUGAACAGAUAUCUGAAGAAAGACAGGAAGAAUGAGGUAGGUAAGAGGGCGGAGGGUGUGGGUGGAAGAGACAUGCACAGAGGAACUGAGGACGCCGAGUCAGAAAGAUGAAGAGGUUCAGAGAUGGAAGAGAAAGCAGGCAAGAGAGCCCCCAGCAGAAUAUCCCCAGUGCAGAGAUGUAGGGAGAUUAAGAACAGAGCAUUAUGGGCUAAUUGUGCCCCCUCCUCCCCACCACCAAUUUCUGUGUUGAGAUCCUAACUCCCAGUACCUCAGAAUGGGACUGUAUUUGCAGAUAGCAUCUUAAAAUAGGUGAUUAAGUUAAAAUGAGACUAUUAGGGCGGGCUUUAAUCCGAUCUGACUGGUGUCCUUACAAGAAGAGGAAAUUUGGAUACACAGACAGACACAGGGAUGUGUGUGAACACAGAGAUAACCAUGUACAGACACAGCAUGAGGGUGGCCAUCUGCAAGCCAAAGAGAGAGGCCUCAGGAGAAACCAGACCUGCUGACACCUUGAUUUUGAACUUCUAGCCUCCAGAACUGUGAGAAAAUAAAUUUCUGUUUAAGCCACCCAGUGUGUGGCAUUUUGUUAUGGCAGCCUGAGCUGGCUAACACACGGGGGAAGGCCAAUUAGAAAAACAGAAGGAAGGCCCCAGAAAAUGCUCAUGAUUUCAAAUACUUUGCCUGUGAUUUCUCAAACAUUCUAGCUUUCUGAAGACCUUCAAGUCUUAGUCUCUUGGGAGAUGAAGGUAGCGGGGAGUUAAGGAUGGAUUCAGUUUCCAAGUCCUGGGAUACAAGUGUGUAGCUGCAGGCUUGCAUUUCUAACACCAUCCAGUCCUGAUGAUUCUGCUGAGUGCCAUCCUGUCCAGUUGCUCCACAGUGUUCCAGAAACAUUUCUUACAUGUCCACUCAAACUUAAUCACCUAAAUACCUGCCAUUUCUCAUGUACUUUUGAAGGGUUCUGUCUGCUUUGUAGUUUAAGGAAAGCAUUUGAUUUUUCUACCCUUGUAAAAACUGCAGUUGGGAGAAAUAAUUUUACUUUCGCUUCCAGGUUUAUUUUGUUUAACUAAAGCCAUUAGAAAUAGCUUCAGUUUUACAUUUUUCUUCAGUCUGCUUGCAAAGUGUGUUAACACGGUGGUUGAAUUUCAAUGGUUUGGAUUGCUUUGAAUGACUUCUGUGUUUUCAUUCCCAAUUCCUCACAUAUUGGUUGCUAUCUAGGUGACCAGAUGAAAGAGUUAAUUUUUUUUUAUUGAUGUGUAAUAGAUGUACAUAUUUUUGGGAUGCAUGUGACAAUUUGAUACCCUCAAAUAAUCAAAUAAAAAUCUUAAUUAUUAAGAAAGUAUUUUCACUAAGUAAAGGCUUAAAUGUGCAUAUCAAAGUUGAAAACCUGAUGUCCCCGUAGCUACAAGUUCAACUUGUAUACCAAGAGACCCAGCAGCCAGAUUUUUCUCUUUGCAGAAAGUGACUUAAGACCUCACAAAGUGAAGUCCCUGGGACACAUGCCAUGGCCCUGGGGAGCACAGCCUCUAUUAGGCCAGGAAAUAAAACCACCAGGAAGGGUCUAGCAGAGUUGCACUACCCUGGAGCCUGUCUUGUGGCAAACGAUGCCAUAGGAAGUUUUCACUUAACUAAUAUAAUUUUGAGAGGCUCAUACUAGAUUUCCAGACUCAUUAUAUUUUCCUAACCAUCUGAUAGAGCCAGGUGCUGUUUUUAUUAUCAUCAUCCCCAUUGUACGUGAAAAGAAACAGGACAAGAGAGGUUGUCUAAAGCUGCCUUCUAUGUCAGUUUUCCUUUGUGACUGUUGCUUGCCAACCAACAGUUUGCUGGUGGGGUCACUGGUGGGCAGGAGCUGGGUUCUUUCACUCCUUUAUAUCCCCUCUUGGCACCUUGUAAUAUUAGGAACAGCAUCAUGGGCUAUGAUUCUCAAUGAUAUUUGCAAUUUAACAAGAUGCCCUCCUGUGCCUGCUGGAGAUGCUCCCCUAUGGCGAAACCAGGGACCUCUUGUGUGCUGGUACUGGUAGGAUCACAUGUUGUGCUCCAGCUGCCAAGGAAGGCUCUUUCCUGCAGUUGAUGUGCAGAAAACAGCAGUUAGGAUUGACCUCUAAGAGGAGGGUGACUCUUGAGAGAUGAGAAUCAAGAACCAAAAGAUUCUUCCCCCCUUACUGGUUUUGGAGUAUCUGGGGCUCGAUUUUAUUGAAGAAACCAAGCCUUUAUACGAACAUACAUCAAAUUAACAGGAAAGCCUCUGACUUUUUGCUGCAGAAAGACUUCUGCCUUAAGUAUUCAUUCUGAAUUGGGACUGUUCCCUGGCCAGGCUGUCCCCUUGUCAACUUGGAAGCUGACCUCUCCUGCCUUACAGAGAAUCAAGGGACAGAGUUCCAGUCCUCUGGCUUGGGACUGACACUGCCCACCCGGGUUACAGCCCCACUCCCAGCAGCCUUCGCACCUGCAGUGCCAUGAUUUAAUGAGGGCUGUCAGGGAUUAUCGAGUUGUGAACUCUUUUGCAUCCGCCAGGCUCUCAUGAAUGAGGCAUUUUGUUCAGCUCCUUCUCACUUCGUGUUUCUUGGAGCUAGCACAGAGAGAAAAGGCAGCAAGUGAGCAGCUAUUUUGGGCCAGGGUCUUAUAUUUGAAUAUUACAUGAUGAAAUAGUGCACCUAUCAAGUCUGUUGUUUUUGUAGCUUUUCUCUGCGUCUUCCUCCCACCUCAACUCACCCCAUGCCACCCACCCUGGCCUUCUGAGCCCUGAGGCGCCCUUGCUGAUGGGCCAGCUAGGUAAUUCUGCAGUUGGUGAAUCACAGAUCAGUAACUGAGACAGAAAAUACUUGCUGUUGCAAAUCCCCUGAUGAAUGGUCACCGGAAGCUGGGCCUGCAAAAGAGGGGCUGUAGGCCAACAUUUGAGCUCCCUGAGCUGGGCAGAUUUAGAGACCGACUCACACUGAAUCCUUCUUGAUCCAAGUUAAUUUUCUGAGGGAAAUCCAAGGGGGAAUGGUCUUAUGAUUUAGUAGUGUUUUGAGGCUCAAAAAACAUUUGUCAAUAAAAGAAAAAGAAAAUGGUGGCUUGAAUAUUCAGUUGCUUUCAGUGGACAACGUUUUGGUCACUAGGAGGCAGAAACAUCCACUGUGAGCGAGGGUCUCCUUUCCAGGAAGAUGGUGGCAGAGCAACUGGGCCAGCCUUUGGCCUGCAGCCGGGACUAUCUUUAUAUAACACAGCAAUAAAUGCUAUUUAAACAACAAUUAUAAACAAGUAUUCUUUGACUCUUCUAGCUCUCACUUCAAAGAAAACCAAAGCCAUUGGAUGCCACUGGAGAAAAGAAUACUGUGAUCAUUUUCAUUCUUCCCAAACACCCUCCUUCCAGCAGCCUGGAAAAGCCUUGAGUGGGACUUUACAGGUCACAGGAUUCUUCUCAUAUAUUCCAGGCAGUGGCUGUGGGCUACUAGGAACAUCCGUCUGACCCUUGGAAAGCCUGAAGGAGGUGCCUCCUUGCUCUCCAGCUUGGGCCUUGGCACUCGACUCUGUAGUCAGGGUCCCGGGUGUCCAGGAUAAGGAUGGCGUCAGAAUCAGCAACCCUAGAAGAGGAGCCCAAGAGGCCCUGGUCCCACCCUCCGAAGUAGUUUGACGCUCUGAGUUGGGCGCCGACAGCUGGUUUAGCUGAGACACAUCUCCAAACCGCGGGCUACAGCUGCCGCAGUGUGAACUGUCUCUGAGCCUCCUCUUGGGGCAGCCACGGCCUGACACUGUGGUUCCUAAUGGCUGACAGAUUAUCCUGUGUGCUUGGAGGAGUCACAGGAGGAUUAUAACUGUCUGCCCCAUCCUAUUACCCCUCCAGCUGCCUCUCCCUCUGGAGUCCCUCUCUAGUAUGUAAGAAUGUUAUCAGCACAGCUACAUUAAAAAAUUUGUAAAUGACAUUUUUCAAAGCUUGAGCAUGACUGGUGUGUGUGUGUGUGUGUGUGUGUGUGUGUGUGUGUGUGACUCUAAGCCAUGAAUAUAUCAAAGAUACCUCUGCUGCCUCCCUCGAUGGGUUUUUGGGGGCGCGAGAGAGGGUUGAAGGAAUGAAUGAAAGCCCUUUAGAGUCCUGUCCACCUCUUGGUCUUGGCCAUUGUGAGCAUUUUCUUUCUCAAAAUCGCCUAUCCCCGAUUCCCCAGCAUGAAGGGAAUGUGUGGUCCGAGAGCCUGCGCUAGGAAAGCACAUCUGGAGGCCAGCCCUUCCCCGGCAGCUUUGCCCAUUCUGCUACUGGCAGGGAGCACAGCUGGGCCAGCUGGCAGCAGUGCAUGCACCUCCUGUCCCACACACCCCACAUGCUGCUCUUCCUGCCCUUGCACCUCCCUCCUUAGCCCAUGCCUCCCUGUGCUGGAUGUGUCAGGAGUGUCCAAGUAGCAGAAGCCAUCUCUGGCUCAAGAGCACCAUUAGACCUGCCAGGUCUGGCUGAGCCUCAUGUGUAUUCGCUACAGCCUUCCCUCUGGAUGCCACUGUCUCCAGCAAAGGUUUCGGCCAAUUGAUUUCCAGGUUGGUCUCACUUGGGGAUUACAUCCGGCUGGGCUGCCAACCAGAGCCCUGACAGCUGGAGCAGGACUCUUGUCUACAAGGAGUGGGCCCACACCCCUCGAGGUUGAUGAUACCCUCUCUCCAUCCUCACACACAUCCCUGCAUCAUUAGAGCUGAACUCUUUAGGAAGGGCCUGGACCCUCCCAGAGUUGUAACCUGGGUCUCUCAGGAGGAAUGAGAUAGUGAAGCAGAUUGUCACCAUUUGGGAGCCAUUUUCCUCCCCAGAGACAAGGGAGUCCACUAGGAGUACUGUCAGUACUGUCCCAGGCCUCCCCCUGCCAUGCCAUGUUGCCUGUUGUCCUACAGCAUGACACAGCACUCUGAGUUUGAAGGCAGGGAUCUGUCUUCACUUACAACUGUGAGAUGUGAAAUCAGUUUGUACCUCCUCU
rnacentral:lncRNA from 1 species